rnacentral:misc_RNA from 1 species
AACGCACCUUGCGCUCCUUGGUAUUCCGAGGAGCAUGCCUGUUUGAGUGUCAUGAAAUUCUCAACCAUUUCAGCUUUUUCUAGCUGAUUUAGGCUUGGAUGUGGGAGUUUGCGGGCUUCUCUGAAGUCGGCUCUCCUUAAAUAUAUUAGUAGGGACCUCUGUUGCCUCAGCUCUUGGUGUGAUAGUUAUCUACGCCAUUCUGCGAAGCAGCUUUAAAAUGGGGUUACUGCUUUCUAACCGUCUCUACCGAGACAACUUCUGACAAUUUGACCUCAAAUCAGGUAGGACUACCCGCUGAACUUAA